UACGUAGGGCGCAAGCGUUUGUCCGGAAUUAUUGGGCGUAAAGAGCUCGUAGGCGGCUUGUCACGUCGGGUGUGAAAAGCCCCGGGGCUUAACCCCGGGUUUGCAUUCGAUACGGGCUAGCUAGAGUGUGGUAGGGGAGAUCGGAAUUCCUGGUGUAGCGGUGAAAUGCGCAGAUAUCAGGAGGAACACCGGUGGCGAAGGCGGAUCUCUGGGCCAUUACUGACGCUGAGGAGCGAAAGCGUGGGGAGCAAACAGG
rnacentral:rRNA from 1 species